UCCAGCACUGAUCCUUUGCACAACUCCAGAGGGCACCAUUCACUCUGAGCUGAAACAUGCCAGGAGCAGUAUAAAUGCUUUGCAUGUGGUCUCUUCUGGAACCCUCAUGAGAGCUCUUUGAGGGAGCUGCUGUUUUUAUUACCAUUUUAAAGAUGAGAAAAUCAAGGGGUAAGAGUCAGCUCCCAAACCGAGGGUCUUUAAUAGCUCAGUGUAGAUGAGACUCAAAGCAGCUGUGUCCAGGACAUUAAAUUAGUUAAAGAGCAGUGCCAAGACUAGAGCCAACACCUCCAUUCUUGUCAUGCUGCCUUUUCGCACGAACAAGCUUCCUCAGAUAAAGAAGAGAAAAUUUAGAACCUUGCUUCACAAGAGCAAGCAGAGAAAGAAAGAAAAUUAGUCCUGACUGGAACAUUUCCGCUCAACUUUCAAUAUGACUUCGAGGCACGUAGAAAUGCCUACCCAGGUGUCCUUCUGGGCUUUCUGCUGGAGCUUUUCAACAAGGAAAGGUCAGGCAAGAAGUGCUGGGCUUAUUUGCAUCCCCUCAGUGUCGAGACUGAAAUAAAAACUCUUUGUCCAAGGAAAGAGCCUAGCUCUUCUCUCAAUGGUUGUCUGAGGCAGAGAGACCUGUAGCUUUUAAGAAGCCCUGUGUUGUCUUUCUGAAGUGAGGUUUGUUUUCUAUGUCCCCACCAGGUAUUAGUUCACUUAGGAAAUAAAGUGUUAAAAGCAAUUGCUUGACCAGUUCCAGCUCACCCAGGAGUUGCCAAAUCCAUGCUGCUUGCGCAGUUUACAAAAUAUUUUCUUUGUAGUUGUCCUUGAAGCCCAAGAGGAGCUAAUGGCUAUAACUACCAGCCUACAUGUUUCAAAGUGAUUUCCACACCAGGAAGCCAUUGUCGGCUUCCCCAAACACUUAAUUGGUAGAGGAUGUGAGCAAUUCUGAAAGGCCUCGCUUCUUGUUCUAGCCUCAAUUCGUCGCUCAGAUAAGAGCUGGUUUUCAGCAACGAUUUUCAUUU
rnacentral:lncRNA from 1 species